UACGAAGGGGGCUAGCGUUGUUCGGAAUUACUGGGCGUAAAGGGCGCGUAGGCGGGCUUGAAAGUCAGAUGUGAAAGCCCCGGGCUCAACCCGGGAAUAGCAUUUGAUACUGCGAGGCUUGAGUACGGGAGAGGAGGGCGGAAUUCCCAGUGUAGAGGUGAAAUUCGUAGAUAUUGGGAAGAACACCGGUGGCGAACGCGGCCAUCUGGACCGGUACUGACGCUGAGGGGCGAAGGCGUGGGGAGCAAACAGG
rnacentral:rRNA from 1 species